rnacentral:pre_miRNA from 1 species
GGGGAGCCACACUGAGUUCACUCGAAUAUGAGAAACGAGUGAACACAGCUGGUGGUAUCUCAGU